GAUGAACGCUAGCUACAGGCUUAACACAUGCAAGUCGAGGGGUAACGAGAGGAAAGCUUGCUUUCCUUGUCGACGACCGGCGCACGGGUGAGUAACGCGUAUCCAACCUGCCCCCAACUAGGGAAUAACCUUGCGAAAGUAAGACUAAUACCCUAUAAUUUCCUCAGAUGUCAUCUGACGAGGAAUAAAGAUUUAUCGGUUGUGGAUGGGGAUGCGUCUGAUUAGCUUGUUGGCGGGGUAACGGCCACCAAGGCAACGAUCAGUAGGGGUUCUGAGAGGAAGGUCCCCCACAUUGGAACUGAAACGCGGUCCAAACUCCUACGGGAGGCAGCAGUGAGGAAUAUUGGUCAAUGGGCGGAAGCCUGAACCAGCCAAGUAGCGUGCAGGAUGACGGCCCUAUGGGUUGUAAACUGCUUUUAUACAGGAAUAAAGUUAGCCACGUGUGGUUAUUUGUAGGUACUGUAUGAAUAAGGACCGGCUAAUUCCGUGCCAGCAGCCGCAGUAA
rnacentral:rRNA from 1 species